GAUGAAGAACGUAGUGAAAUGCGAUAAGUAAUGUGAAUUGCAGAAUUCAGUGAAUCAUCGAAUCUUUGAACGCACCUUGCACCCUUUGGCAUUCCGAAGGGUAUGCUCGUUUGAGUGUCAUUGUACUCUCACUCUCCCGAUACUUUUGGAUCGGGAGUGGUGGACUUGGGUGCUGCUGCUUAACUGUGGCUCGCCUUAAAUGAAGUAGUGCAACUCUCGGUUGGACAUAGUACGGCGUGAUAAGUGUCUUCGCCGGCGCCUCAUUCGAGGGUGGCCGAUUGGGAGCUCUGUGCUUCAAACUGUCUUCGGACAACAUCUGACAACUUGACCUCAAAUCGAGUAGGACUACCCGCUGAACUUAAGCAUAUCAAUAAGCGGAGGA
rnacentral:misc_RNA from 1 species